CAUUGGGGGGAGAAGUGAUCAGGGGCGGACCCACGUUGAACUGAGGGGGUUCAACUGAACCCCCUGAAAAAAAAAUUUCCUACUUACCCCCCUAGAGUGAUUUGUUUUUGAACCCCCUGAAAUUUGAAAAUUGCACCCAGGUCCCAGUCAACACUCAGUCACUCAUUCCUCACUCCUCUCUCUCUCUCUCUUCCUCACGCACUCACUCUCUCACGGUCUCAACUCUCACCUUCACGAUCCAGAGUUCCAGACCACCACCGGCCACCAGCCCACCACCACGGUACCACCACUACACCAGGCCCCAGCCACCACCACGGCACCACUCAUUGAUUCACGGUUCGACUGUUUCAGUGUUCACUCUUUUCUCUCUCUCUCUCAACGCUGCAACCCACCAGGCGGCAGUCACAGCCCACCAACGCCACCAGUCCACCACCACCGCCCACCGGCGGCCGCCCAACGCACCACCACUCUCUCUCUCUGCUGCUGUUGAAGACUUGAAGCUUGAAGUGAAAUUAGACUGGGAAAUAAGCUUGUUGUCUUGGUUUGAGAUUGGAAAUUUGGAAUGUGAAGGGAAAUGAAUUCAUCCAUCAGAUGAUCAGAACCCAACUCCCUCUUUCCCAUCACCAGUCAACUCAACACUAUUUGCUCUGCUGAACGCGGGAUGGACUAAUAGGCUUGUCUAUUUAAUCUUUGAGGGAAGAAAAAGCUCUGAUAACACCAGAUUUUUGUUCCACCAGAUUUUGAACCCCCUGACCCCGGGGUCCUGGAUCCGCCACUGGAAGUGAUUAUGACUAUGAAAGAAACUACUUCUAGUGGUUUUAUGUGGAAAAAGUGAUUCUGAAAUGUUUAAACAUGAAAUGUUACAUGCAGUACGGCUCACAAAUAAAGCAAGCUAACUGAGGUUUUUGCAACUCAUGAGCAUAUGUAAAUCAGCACUAAGUUCGGCAUAUAUGCCUAUAUAUAAAAAUAGGCUUAAAAGCAUUUUUGGUCCCUCACUUAA